GACAGAGGUGCCAAGCGUUAGGCGGAAUCACUGGGCUUAAAGCGUGUGUAGGCGGAUCGUUAAGUGCUUUGUGAAAUCCCACAGCUCAACUGUGGAACUGCUUGGCAUACUGGCGAUCUUGAGCCAUCUAGGGGUUGCUGGAACAAACGGUGGAGCGGUGAAAUGCGUAGAUAUCGUGUGGAACGCCAAUGGUGAAAACAGGCAACUGGGGAUGUGCUGACGCUGAGACACGAAAGCCAGGGGAGCAAACGGG
rnacentral:rRNA from 1 species